AGAGUUUGAUCCUGGCUCAGAAUAAACGCUGGCGGCAUGCUUAACACAUGCAAGUCGUACGAGAAAGUCUCCUUCGGGGGGCGAGUAAAGUGGCGGACGGGUGAGUAACACGUAAGAACCUGCCCUUUGGUUUGGGAUAACGUCGCGAAAGCGGCGCUAAUACCAAAUGAUGUCUAUGGUCCAAAGAGGGCGAAAGCUCUCGCCAGAGGAGGGGCUUGCGUCCCAUUAGCUUGUUGGUGAGGUAAUAGCUUACCAAGGCGACGAUGGGUAGCCGGCCUGAGAGGGUGUACGGCCACACUGGAACUGAGAUACGGUCCAGACUCCUACGGGAGGCAGCAGUGGGGAAUAUUGGUCAAUGGGCGAAAGCCUGAACCAGCAAUGCCGUGUGGGGUGAUGAAGCUUUUUGGAGUGUAAACCCCUUUUAUGAGGAAAGAAGAUAAUUCGGUUAAUACCUGAGUUAUUUGACGGUACCUCAUGAAUAAGCCCCGGCUAACUCCGUGCCAGCAGCCGCGGUAAUACGGAGGGGGCAAGCGUUAUUCGGAAUUACUGGGCGUAAAGGGCGUGUAGGCGGCCUAGCAGGUCAGAUGUGAAAUCCCCGGGCUUAACCCGGGAAUUGCGUUUGAAACCGUUGGGCUUGAGUCUGGGAGAGGAAAGCGGAAUUCCUGGUGUAGCGGUGAAAUGCGUAGAUAUCAGGAGGAACACCGGUGGCGAAAGCGGCUUUCUGGACCAGUACUGACGCUGAGACGCGAAAGCGUGGGUAGCAAACGGGAUUAGAUACCCCGGUAGUCCACGCCGUAAACGAUGAGCACUAGAUGUAGCGGAAGUUUUCUGCUGUGCCGCAGCUAACGCAAUAAGUGCUCCGCCUGGGGACUACGCACGCAAGUGUAAAACUCAAAUGAAUUGACGG
rnacentral:rRNA from 1 species